rnacentral:rRNA from 1 species
UACGUAGGGGGCAAGCGUUGUCCGGAUUUAUUGGGCGUAAAGCGCUCGCAGGCGGCUCGAUGCGUCGUGCGUGAAACACCCCGGCUCAACUGGGGAGGGUCGUGCGAUACGGUCGGGCUGGAGGCCAGUAGGGGGAUGCGGAAUUCCGGGUGUAGUGGUGGAAUGCGUAGAGAUCCGGAGGAACACCAGCGGCGAAGGCGGCAUCCUGGACUGGUCCUGACGCUCAGGAGCGAAAGCGAGGGGAGCGAUCCGG